rnacentral:rRNA from 1 species
GACGAACGCUGGCGGCGUGCUUAACACAUGCAAGUCGAACGGAAAGGCCCCCAUCUUGGUGGGGGUGCUCGAGUGGCGAACGGGUGAGUAACACGUGGGUGAUCUGCCCUGUACUUCGGGAUAAGCUUGGGAAACUGGGUCUAAUACCGGAUAGGACCAUGGUUUAGUGUCUCAUGGUGGAAAGAUUAUUGUUUUGGUGCAGGAUGAGCUCGCGGCCUAUCAGCUUGUUGGUGGGGUAAUGGCCUACCAAGGCGUCGACGGGUAGCCGGCCUGAGAGGGUGGACGGCCACAUUGGGACUGAGAUACGGCCCAGACUCCUACGGGAGGCAGCAGUGGGGAAUAUUGCACAAUGGGCGCAAGCCUGAUGCAGCGACGCCGCGUGGGGGAUGACGGCCGUCGGGUGGUAAACUCCUUUCGUUAGGGACGAAGCCGCACUUUUUUUGGGUGUGGUGACGGUACCUUUGUUAAGAAGCACCGGCUAACUACGUG